rnacentral:lncRNA from 1 species
AUGCACAAAUAAGCGCUUAUCAAAAAGACGAAUGGCCGAAAUCUGCCACACCAUGGUUAAGGGUUGUUCCUUGGGGACUAAGAAAAACAUUGAACUGGAUCAAGAACAUAUAUGGCGAUAUACCAAUAUUAAUAACGGAAAAUGGGGUAUCAGACAACGCUUCUUCUUUAGAAGAUGAUACAAGGGUUGACUAUUAUCAGCAACACUUGAGUAGUUUGAAAGAUGCUAUGGA